UGAGUACGAGAUGCUACGGCAUCGAAGCAGUCUAUGUCAUACUUCCAAGAAAAGCUUGCACUGUCAUAAACAAAGAAUGCCUGUACCAUAACCGACACAGGUGGGUAGGUAGAGUAUACUAAGGGGCGCGAGAUAACUCUCUCUAAGGAACUCGGCAAAAUGACUCCGUAACUUCGGGAGAAGGAGUGCCUUAUUUAUAAGGUUGCAAUAACAAGAUCCAAGCAACUGUUUAUCAAAAACACAGGUCUCCGCUAAGUCGUAAGACGAUGUAUGGGGGCUGACGCCCCAGUGCCAGAAGGUUAAAGAAGUUGGUUAGUGUAUGCGAAGCUGAUGACUGAAGCCCUGGUGAACGGCGGCCGUAACAAUAACGGUCCUAAGGUAGCGAAAUUCCUUGUCGGGUAAGUUCCGACCCGCACGAAAGGCGUAAUAAUUUGGAUACUGUCUCGGAGAGAGGCUCGUGAAAUAGACUUGUCUGUGAAGAUGCGGACUACCUGCACCAGGACAGAAAGACCCUAUGAAGCUUUACUGUAACUUGAAAUUGGAAUUGGACUUUGCUUGCGCAGUAUAGGUGGGAAGCGUUGAAAAUAUUCUUGCGGGAGUAUUGGAGCUAUCAGUGAGAUACCACUCUUGUAAUGUUAGAUUUCUAACUUUGAACCAUAAUCUGGUCAAAGAACAGUUUCAGGUGGGCAGUUUGACUGGGGCGGUCGCCUCCCAAAUGGUAACGGAGGCGUACAAAGGCUUCCUCUGAACGGAUAGAAAUCGUAUCUAGAGUGUAAAGGCAUAAGGAAGCUUGACUGUGAGACCUACAAGUCGAGCAGGGACGAAAGUCGGUCUUAGUGAUCUGACGGUACUGAGUGGAAAGGCCGUCACUCAACGGAUAAAAGUUACUCUAGGAUAACAGGCUGAUCUCCCCCAAGAGUUCACAUCGACGGGGAGGUUUGGCACCUCGAUGUCGGCUCAUCGCAUCCUGGGGCGGUAGUACGUCCCAAGGGUUGGGCUGUUCGCCCAUGAAAGCGGUACGCGAGCUGGGUUCAGAACGUCGUGAGACAGUUCGGUCCAUAUCCGGUGUAGGCGCUAGAAUAUUGAGAGGAGCCUUCUUUAGUACGAGAGGACCGAGAAGGACACACCGCUGGUGUACCAGUUAUCGUGCCAACGGUAAACGCUGGGUAGCUAUGUGUGGAGUGGAUAACCGCUGAAAGCAUCUAAGUGGGAAGCCCACCUCGAGAUGAGUAUUC
rnacentral:rRNA from 1 species